CUGAGGGAGCUUGCUCCCAAAGAUUAGCGGCGGACGGGUGAGUAACACGUGGGCAACCUGCCUGUAAGACUGGGAUAACUUCGGGAAACCGGAGCUAAUACCGGAUAAUGCUUUUGAACUCAUGUUCGAAAGCUGAAAGAUGGUUUCGGCUAUCACUUACAGAUGGGCCCGCGGCGCAUUAGCUAGUUGGUGAGGUAACGGCUCACCAAGGCGACGAUGCGUAGCCGACCUGAGAGGGUGAUCGGCCACACUGGGACUGAGACACGGCCCAGACUCCUACGGGAGGCAGCAGUAGGGAAUCUUCCGCAAUGGACGAAAGUCUGACGGAGCAACGCCGCGUGAGUGAUGAAGGUUUUCGGAUCGUAAAACUCUGUUGUUAGGGAAGAACAAGUACCGGAGUAACUGCCGGUACCUUGACGGUACCUAACCAGAAAGCCACGGCUAACUACGUGCCAGCAGCCGCGGUAAUACGUAGGUGGCAAGCGUUGUCCGGAAUUAUUGGGCGUAAAGCGCGCGCAGGCGGUUCCUUAAGUCUGAUGUGAAAGCCCACGGCUCAACCGUGGAGGGUCAUUGGAAACUGGGGAACUUGAGUGCAGAAGAGAAGAGCGGAAUUCCACGUGUAGCGGUGAAAUGCGUAGAGAUGUGGAGGAACACCAGUGGCGAAGGCGGCUCUUUGGUCUGUAACUGACGCUGAGGCGCGAAAGCGUG
rnacentral:rRNA from 1 species